AUGUAUAUAUAUAUAUACACGAUAAAAUUGAAACGAUAUAGAGAAGAUUGGCAUGGGCCCUGCGCAUAUAACACAUAAAUCGAGAAAUGGUCCAAAUUUUU